rnacentral:rRNA from 1 species
CACGUAGGGCGCAAGCGUUGUCCGGAAUUAUUGGGCGUAAAGAGCUCGUAGGCGGUCUGUUGCGUCUGCUGUGAAAACUCGGGGCUUAACCCCGAGCCUGCAGUGGAUACGGGCAGACUAGAGGUAGGUAGGGGAGAAUGGAAUUCCCGGUGUAGCGGUGAAAUGCGCAGAUAUCGGGAGGAACACCGGUGGCGAAGGCGGUUCUCUGGGCCUUACCUGACGCUGAGGAGCGAAAGCGUGGGGAGCGAGCAGG